rnacentral:rRNA from 1 species
UACGAAGGGUGCAAACGUUGCUCGGAAUUAUUGGGCGUAAAGCGCACGUAGGCGGCUUGGCAAGUCGGAUGUGAAAUCCCUCGGCUCAACCAAGGAAGUGCAUCCGAAACUGCCGAGCUUGAGUACUUAAGAGGAUCGCGGAAUUCCCGGUGUAGAGGUGAAAUUCGUAGAUAUCGGGAGGAACACCAGUGGCGAAGGCGGAUCUCUGGGCCAUUACUGACGCUGAGGAGCGAAAGCGUGGGGAGCGAACAGG